GUACCACUAUAACAACCUGUUUAAUUUUAUUUGUGCAAUGCUGAAAUGGCCAAGAGUGAAGAGUUCCUGAUUUAAUAUAUUGAAAUCGCCUUUCCUAAAUUACAGGUUGUAAAUAUUGGUGUAACUUGCUUCAAGACCAUCUGUAAUGUGAUAUUGCGAGCCUUGUAUUCUAAAUAGGAAGUCGGGGUCUUCGACUCUUUCGAGAUUCCUUUAUGUGAUUAACAUAAACUAAGGUGGAUCCAAGAAGACCCUAAAACAAUAUGAGUUGUGGGCCUUACCUAGCUGUUUUGGACCAUGAAUUUGAGAAGACUUUGCAUUUGUUGUGUGGUGACAAAUACUAUUUACAAGCUUCAGAAAAAGGUUUCAGAGAUUUGAUUGGACGCAUCCAAGAAGAUGAAAGUGG